ACAAACUUGGUCAUUUAGAGGAAGUAAAAGUCGUAACAAGGUUUCCGUAGGUGAACCUGCGGAAGGAUCAUUCACAAUAAGUGUUUAUGGCACUUUAACAAAUCCAUAUCCACCUUGUGUGCAACGUUUGAAUUUGAUCCGCACGCGCAAGCGUGCGAGGAAAGAUUCUUAACCCCAUUAAUUUAUUUUUGAACCUGUUUGUCUGAAUUUAACGUAUCAUGAAUUAACUUAAUUCUAAAAUACAACUUUCAACAACGGAUCUCUUGGCUCUCGCAUCGAUGAAGAACGCAGC
rnacentral:misc_RNA from 1 species